rnacentral:rRNA from 1 species
AACGAACGCUGGCGGCAUGCCUAACACAUGCAAGUCGAACGAGACCUUCGGGUCUAGUGGCGCACGGGUGCGUAACGCGUGGGAACAUGCCCUUAGGUUCGGAAUAACUCCCCGAAAGGGGUGCUAAUACCGGAUAAUGUCUUCGGACCAAAGAUUUAUCGCCUUUGGAUGGGCCCGCGUUGGAUUAGCUAGUUGGUAGGGUAAAAGCCUACCAAGGCGACGAUCCAUAGCUGGUUUGAGAGGAUGAUCAGCCACACUGGGACUGAGACACGGCCCAGACUCCUACGGGAGGCAGCAGUGGGGAAUAUUGGACAAUGGGCGAAAUCCUGAUCCAGCAAUGCCGCGUGAGUGAUGAAGGCCUUAGGGUUGUAAAGCUCUUUUACCCGGGAUGAUAAUGACAGUACCGGGAGAAUAAGCUCCGGCUAACUCCGUG